rnacentral:lncRNA from 1 species
UUAAUUAGAUAAAUUAACUGAAUUUUAGUCAAUUAAUUUUGUUGUCGCAAUUUCACGGAAUUUCAAACCCGAAACUAUCUCAUUUCAUCAUCAAUGCAAACCAAACUUCAAAAAAAAAAUCACACAAUUCUUGAUUUAACAUCCAGCCCAUUUCAAAACGAACCCUUUGUAAGUCGAUUGUUUUGGCCUCGCCACUAACCCCACAUGUAAAUGAUUCUACUAUCAUUCCGCACAAAUUCAAACCAUUUUUCAAAAC